rnacentral:rRNA from 1 species
UACGUAGGGCGCAAGCGUUAUCCGGAAUUAUUGGGCGUAAAGAGCUCGUAGGCGGUUUGUCGCGUCUGCCGUGAAAGUCCGGGGCUCAACUCCGGAUCUGCGGUGGGUACGGGCAGACUAGAGUGAUGUAGGGGAGACUGGAAUUCCUGGUGUAGCGGUGAAAUGCGCAGAUAUCAGGAGGAACACCGGUGGCGAAGGCGGGUCUCUGGGCAACAACUGACGCUGAGGAGCGAAAGCGUGGGGAGCAAACAGG